rnacentral:rRNA from 1 species
UACGAAGGGGGCGAGCGUUGUUCGGAAUUACUGGGCGUAAAGCGUGCGCAGGCGGUUAUAUAAGACAGUUGUGAAAUCCCCGGGCUCAACCUGGGAACUGCAUCUGUGACUGUAUAGCUAGAGUACGGUAGAGGGGGAUGGAAUUCCGCGUGUAGCAGUGAAAUGCGUAGAUAUGCGGAGGAACACCGAUGGCGAAGGCAAUCCCCUGGACCUGUACUGACGCUCAUGCACGAAAGCGUGGGGAGCAAACAGG